GCGCCCGUAGCUCAGUGGAUUAGAGCGUUCGGCUACGGACCGAAAGGUCAGGGGUUCAAAUCCUCUCGGGCGCG
rfam:Bacterium GW2011_GWA1_44_22 VE96_C0009, whole genome shotgun sequence.